CUCUCUUUGUGUCAUUAGUGUAAGAUCAGGCUCACAUGUGUCUGUGAAGAGUGACCGGUCAAAGGAUGGUGACGUACCAGACUUCAGUGAGAAAAAAACAUCUAUCAAAAGUGUAAGAUCAGGAUCACAUGUGUCCAGCUCUGUGUCUGUGAAGAGUGACUGGUCAAAGAGAGAAGGACCAGUCUUCAGUGAAGAAACAGCAUCACGAACCAAACGGCUUCAGUAUGAAACAUUAGAUCCAGAUUUACAGUCUCACAGGAACCGCAAGAAGUUUACAGACAGUCUCCUGCAGAUCUUCCAGG